rnacentral:lncRNA from 1 species
UUGUUCAAAGCUAAAACUCAAACCAAAACCAUAACUCUACCGGUAACCAAAAACAACAUAAACCAACCAAAAGAUCUUAUAUAUUGUUUACUUGCACCAGCCAAAGAGGAUUAUAUGUUAUCUGAAAGAUACUUGAUUAUCAAAGUGAAGCUACCAAGAUCUACUAAUAACAAGCUCAUAGCUCCUAUGCAGUUAAUGCGGUAAAAUAUCGGAUAUCGGUCAAGGACCGAUAUAUGAAAUAUAGGUUAUCUCGGUAAGAUAUCGGUGGGAUAUCGGUAAUUUUAAUAUAAUGCAGAAUUUAUAUAUAUAGCAAUUUAACACCAAUAAUUCAGUGAUAUAUCAGUGAUAUAUCGGUUAUAUCGGUCAGAUAUCGGUAAUAUAUCGGUUAUAUCGGUCAAAUAUCAGUGAUACAUCGGUUAUAUCGGUCAAAUGUCGGUCAAUAUCGCCGAUAAUAUUUUGACCGAUAUUUUACUAAGGGACCGAUAUGACCGAUAUAUCACCGACAUUAACUGCAUAGCAUAGCUCUAAUGAAGAACUCGAGGUUUCAUGAUCGAAUCAAACACAUUGACACAAGGUAUCAUGUCAUUUGACAAUAAGCUCGUUUUCAAUGUAUUGUCUUGUGUAUGAUUUUUUUCAUUGAUCUUGAAGUUAAAAGGUUUUGGUUAUUGAAUUGAAAUCACGAUAAAUAUAUCAAAACGAAGUCGUACGUGGCGUAUUUCUUUAACUGCAAAAAGAGUUUGUUUAAAAGUGCUGAGAAACUAGAAAUUACAAAGGAU